rnacentral:lncRNA from 1 species
GAUGAGCUGACAGACCCUGGCUGAGCAGGAAGUGGCAGGGUCAGGAAAAGCUAGGCCACAAGUUUUCCCUUGAGAGCCUUAGAGUCUAGCCCUGUCGCCCAGGCUGGAGUGCCAUGGUUUGAACUCUACUCACCGCAACCUCCACCUCCCAGGUUCAAAUGAUUCUCCUGCCUCAGCCUCCUGAAUAUCUGGGAUUACAGGCUGGAGUGCGAUGGCGCGAUCUCUACUCACUGCAACCUCCAUCUCCUGGGUUCAAGCAAUUCUCCCUCAGCCUCCCGAGUAGCUAGGACUACAGAGCCUCCCUCUGGAGCGAAGUGGCAUAAUCUCGGCUCACUGCAACCUCUGCCUCCCAGGUUCAAGCGAUUCUCAUGUCUCGGCCUCUUGAGUAACUGGGAUUACAGGUGUCUUUGUGAAGCUUCCUAUCUUUGCUUUUCAACUAAGAUGAAACAGCAUUUAAAAGAAAAUGCCAUGUGAGAUGAGAUCAGGAGAAUGGAUUCUUUCUUUCAUCUGAAUAGAGAGCUGCUGUUCGAGGCUGACCCAAGUUAUGUAGCAGAAAGGAGGCCUCUCUCAACUUAGCUGACCAGCCUGAAUUCCUAACCAUAAAAAGAAGAACCUCACCAUUUAUCUCCUUGAAGUCGUGUCUUCCAAGGCUGUUGAAGCAGAACUCUAGCAUUCCUUAAGGACUUCAUCAUCUUUCAAGGUUGCUAAAGGGAGACUUUGGUGUUUCUGAUAAGAACCGAACCAGAUGCAGCCAGCUGAAGAUAAGAUGGACUCUAGAACUGACCUUUCAUCAACUUUUUUUCUUAUUAUAAUACUAAAAUCUCUGCCAAAGGUGGAGCUAAUCUGCCGCUCUCAGAUCACUCUAUGUCAGUUAGGGCGUAAUGUCUCAUUGCACAAGCUCUAAGAAAACCCCUAAACAUGCUUGCACAUCACUCC